rnacentral:rRNA from 1 species
AUGGGGCGUGGGAAAGUGGAGCUCAAGAAGAUCGAGAACACGACGAGCAGGCAGGUCACCUUCUCCAAGAGGCGGAUGGGGCUGCUCAAGAAGGCAAACGAGCUGGCCAUUCUUUGUGAUGCGCAGGUUGGGGUGAUCGUAUUCUCCGGCAGUGGCAAGAUGUACGAGUACGCCAGCCCUCCAUGGAGGAUUGCAAACAUCUUUGACAGGUACCUGAAAGCCCCCAGCACCCGCUUUGAUGAGAUGGACGUCCAGCAGAAAAUCAUCCAUGAGAUGACAAGGAUGAAGGACGAGAGCAACAGGCUGAAGAUCAUCAUGAGGCAGUACAUGGGCGAGGACCUGGGCUCGCUGACCCUGCAAGACGUGAGCAAUCUUGAGCAGCAGAUCGAGUUCUCCCUCUACAAAGUUCGCCUUAGGAAGCAACAGCUACUUGACCAGCAGCUGCUGGAGAUGCGCCAGAGGGAGAUGCACAUGUCAGAGGACCAGGGCAGCAGCUACAUGUUCCACAUGGUAACACAUCUCAGCUUAAUUUCUCUUGAGAUGCUUUCGUGUUGCAAUUUAUUCACCCUUGAUGAAUUUGUUUGUGUCUGUCAAAAAAAGAAUCCGGCGAGGGAUCAGCCGGGCCAGCCGGCCGACGUGAUGAACCCGAAGCUGUUCCCUCUGUGGGACGUGGGCGACCAGAUCUACGGCCAGGACGCCGAGUCCUCCAUGACGGCUCUCAAGCUCUCGCCGCAGCUGCAGGAGUACAAGCUCCAGCCGGUGCAGCCCAACCUGCAGGAGGGCAACCUCCAUGGCUACGUCCUCCGCCUCUGGUAA